CAGCAGCCGCGGUAAUACGAAGGGGGCUAGCGUUGCUCGGAAUGACUGGGCGUAAAGGGCGCGUAGGCGGCGGCCAAAGUCAGGCGUGAAAUUCCCGGGCUCAACCUGGGGGCUGCGCUUGAUACUUGGUUGCUUGAGUGGGGAAGAGGGUCGUGGAAUUCCCAGUGUAGAGGUGAAAUUCGUAGAUAUUGGGAAGAACACCGGUGGCGAAGGCGGCGACCUGGUCCAUUACUGACGCUGAGGCGCGAAAGCGUGGGGAGCAAACAGGAUUAGAUACCCCUGUAGUCCCUGUCUCUUAUAC
rnacentral:rRNA from 1 species